GGCUGCGCUCGUUUCUCUCCGGUCGGGGACAGAGGGUGGCGCUUGGGGGAAUUGUCAUCCCGCCACUCCUUGGUGUGUGGAGUGCCUCAGGGUGCGAUACUCUCCCCGAUGCUUUUUAACAUCUUUAUGCGCCCCCUCGCCCAGCUUGUCCGGAGUUUUGGGCUGGGUUGCCAUCAGUAUGCCGAUGACACCCAACUCUAUCUGUUGAUGGAUGGCCAUCCUGACUCGGCCCCAGACACACUGACCAGAUGUUUGGAAGCUGUGGCUGGAUGGUUACGCGGAAGCCGGUUGAAGUUAAAUCCUUCGAAGACAGAGGUCCUCUGGCUGGGACGGGACGAUAUGGGAUUGGGGGGGCAACUCCCAUCUCUUGCGAGGGUGCAAUUAGUGCCAGCACCGUCCGUUAAGAGUUUGGGUGUAAUCUUCGAUACCUCCCUCUCUAUGGAGGCGCAGAUUACAGCUAUAACAAAGGCGGCAUUUUUCAUCUCCGCCAAGCUAAGCAGUUGGCCCCUUAUCUCUCUCGCCCUGACCUAGCCACUGUGAUCCACGCGACGGUCACCUCCAGACUGGAUUAUUGUAACUCGCUCUACGUGGGGCUGCCCUUGAGACUGACCCAGAAACUCCAGCGGGUGCAGAAUGCCGCGGCGAGACUCCUUAUGGGGUCUUCGCUGCGAGAUCACAUUCAUCCGGUACUAUACCAGCUGCACUGGCUCCCGGUGGAGUACAGGAUCAGGUUUAAGGUGCUGGUUUUAACCUUUAAAGCCCUAUACGGCCUAGGACCCUCGUACCUACGGGACCGCCUCUCCUGGUAUGCCCCACAGAGGAACCUACGGUCUGCAAAUAAAAACAUCCUGAAGGUCCCAGGCCUCAGAGAGGUUAGGCUGGCCUCAACUAGAGCCAGGGCUUUCUCGGCUGCGGCUCCAAUCUGGUGGAACGCUCUGUCACAAGAGACUAGGGCCCUGCGGGACCUGACAUCUUUCCGCAAGGCCUGCAAGACAGAGUUGUUCAACCAGGCCUUUGGUCAGGGCCCAGCCUGACUCCCACCUCCGGCAACCUGCACAGAACUUUGCUUAACGGUUGCCAUUAAUUUGAUUUUAAUUAAUUUUUAUAAUGAAAUGUUUUAGAAUGUUGGAUUAUUUGAUUGUUUGAUUAUUUGUUUGUUGUUAGCCGCCCUGAGCCUGGCUUUGGCUGGGGAGGGCGGGAUAUAAAUAAAAUUUAUUAUUAUUAUUAUUAUUAUUA